UGCGAGCUCAGGACAGUGACCCUCCCACCACCGGUUACUUGCCCUUUGUUGUUGUUUGAUGUUGCCCCUACAGGCCACUUGGCACUGUCAGGGUGAUGAGGACGUGGGAAACAUGGCUAAAAAAAUAUGAACGGGGUAAGGAGAGGAUAUGGGAGGUAGUGGCAGGGUCAAAGGUCGGUUGGGGCGUUGGUAUUAAUUACUGAGUUGGUACCGUUCUCUGCAGAUGGCGUUCCUCGUCUGCUCUACAAUCCUGGAGGCCGGCCAGGCUCUCAGUGGUGACCUCUGCUGUUGUCAGGGAUCACCGGAAUGAAGUAGACCAUGUGGUGACGCGGUCCCCUAGUGACGUCAGCACCUAACUGUCAACUGUAGACUGCGCACCUGGCGGAGGCCUACGUGACAUCACGGGGGAGUAACCUUUCCCUCCCACCGCGCGCUGCACUCAUCUGCCGUCAAUGUGGGUCACAGGUUAUGACCUGAACUUCAUGGCGUUGCAGGAGGAACCUGACCGUCACGUGCCACUUCCCCUGAGGUAGGCGCAUCUUUGAAGUUGAGGGAUUCAUUUAGUGGCACAUGUGUUUUCCCACAAGAUGCAAGGAAAUAAAAGUGCGGGACCGUUUUGGCUGAGAAACCCGAGUGACUUCUACAUUGAAUCCAAGGCGUCGUGAAGACGGAAAAUACUGUGGGUGGUCUUUGGCCACAGUCCCAUGAUGCUCCAUUCUGUGUGAGUGAGACAGAGAGAGCGAAAGAAUGAGAUAGAGACGUGAAACGUCAUCCACUGAGAGGUAUUCCUCGUUCACAUAGACGAUUAAGUUAUGUGGUAUGCUACGAAAUUCGUGUUACUGUGGGAUAAUCCUUGAGUUAUUCUCUUCAUUUUUCGAAGACAUCAAUUUCUUGCACACUUAAAAAUUGUAUGGCUAAUUAGGUAAAUGUUUUAAUAAAUCAAAAACGUAUCAAGUGCUCAACUCCAGCCCUCUUCCGUUCAUAGCUCCUUCCCUACUCGUCUUCCUCUACUGAUUCACGACACUCUUAGUUCUUGUUACAUGAUUCACCUUUGCUUUGUCUAUAUUUGUCUUUUAUCAUUCCGUUCCUUCAUCUGUUGUCCGUCUCUUCCUUGUCUCAAGCGCUAAGACCACGCUCCUUACUUGCGUGAAUAUGUCUCUCCAAAUCACAAGUUUAAUUAUUAUUAUUAAAACUUAAUAACUUUAAAUGUUUACAUCGUGAGAUAAAGCAUAAAAAUAAUUUACAUAUUGAAUGUUUGCAUUUUAAAUUGCUUGUUUAUUUUAAGCUAGGGGUGGACUUUGUGCUGACCGUAGUUUAAUUCCUCUCUAAAAAUAAAGUCUGACAUUGUGGUGACGUCAGUAAUCUCCCUGUUGAUACCACAGCUAUCCUUGAGAUGUGUGCGAUAAUUCUUCUAUACAUUAAUUUUUUUCUAUAAAUCGAAGAAUAGAUUGCCUCUUGCACAAGGC